ACUGAAGAGCCCGAUGCAGACCGUCAUCACAAACAUAGGGAAUGCUUCAAGAAUACUUUUGUGAUCAACAAUGAUUUAACAGGUUCUGCAAAUUCAUCUUCAGCUAUUCGGGUUGUGGUACCAAACGUUGCUGCAACUCUGGCAACAGUUCUGUGUCAAAUGGUGCCCAGCUAACAACAGUGUCAGUUAUAUGUACCCAGAUUCUGCCGACUACAAGUAAGCCGAAUGUGUCGACUAUAAAUUACCAGAAUGUGACAAUGACAACUACACAUGCUAGCGGAAGUCUGCGUGCCAGUACAUUUGUCUCCUUCUUUCUUGCUACUUCAGUAGCUAAAAUUGUGUAAAAUUGUGUAUUUUUGAAAAGUCACAUGACAUCAGUCUCCAUGUUCUGUCUAUAAAACGUCACCAGGCGAUAAUCUUUUAAAAUUAAAAAGUUUCAAAAUA